rnacentral:lncRNA from 1 species
GGGAGACCAUGUAAGGACACAGGGAGGAGGCGGCCAUCUACAGACCAAGGAGGGCGGCCUUGAAGGAACCAGCCCUGCUGACACCCUGAUCUUAAACUUCUAGCCUCCAGAAUUCCCAGCUCACAGACAGACCUCCACAACGGCUCACUGCCACCAGAGCUUUUCUUUCAACUGAUGAAAAACUGAAAGAAAAAGCUAAGUCUCCUCCCCAUGUGAUAUAGAAGAGAUGUUGGCACAUUCGCAUUUUCAUAAGGAAAAACAAGUUGAACUGCGGCAACUCUGGAAGUCAGUCUCAUCAACUGCACCCUCCUUUCGCACACGGCAGACUCCUGCGCGCACCCACACUCCUUACGUGGGAACCUCGUCAUGUAUGGAACGUGUAAUAUCUGUCAGCGCUGCCCUUUAAUGAGCGAUUCCUAUGAGCCAGGCAGGGGGUCAGAGGGCAACAUGCCCCCUGCCUCCCGUGAGGAAACUGAGGCUUGAGAAGUUUAAGCACAUGUUUUUAAAAACAUGAAGCUCACAAAAAAUAGAGAUGGCAUUUUAUUUAUUUAUUUAUUUUUGCUUUUUAGGGCUGCACCUGCAGCAUAUAGAAGUGCCCAGGCUAGGGGUCAAAUCUGAGCUGCAGCUGCCAGCCUACACCUCGGCUACAGCAAUGUGGCAUCCUUAGCCCACUGAGUGAGGCCAGGGAUCAAAUCUGCAUCCUUAUGGGUACUAGUCAGCUUCAUAACUAGCUGAGCCACAACGGGAACUCCUUCCCCCUUCACCCCAUCCCAAAGUCACUUCUUAACCCACUGGGCCAGGAAAUCUCCCAGCGAGGCUUAAAUGUUUAUCUCUGCCAAUGACUCUCAUUUUCCCAAGAGCAGGGAGGGUUGGGAAAACAGCCACUUUACAGGUAAAGACCUGGGAUGUGCAGUGUGAUCACCAGGCACGCUGCUGCCAUGUGAAUGGGCACGUGGCCUCUCUGAGUGUCUGGGAAAGCCACAUGCCAGGCCUGGGAAAGGCCACAGUGGGAAGAAGGCACAUCCAGGGCGGGUGGCUUUUGCAGCAGAAACCACCUGCUUAGAUGCCUCCCUGCCACUCAGAGGCUCUCUGCAACAGUGGGGAAAUGUUGCCAGUCAGGCGCAUGCUUUCCAGUGGCAGCUGCCCGUUAACAAACUAUAGUGACCUUGGCAACACGUCCUGAACACAGGCCACCGGCGUCAUACAGCAGUCCUCUGUGACGCAAGGGCACAGCCAGCCCUGACGACUGUUCAGGGACUGGGCAGGAGAAUUCCAGGGCCCCUGCUUUUUCCUACUUUGAGAUACUUAGAAGACGUAGAUAAAGCAACUGGAAAACAGAAAUGUGUAAACUGGAGAGAGAAAGGGAGAGGAGAAGGGAUUGACUUUGGAAAUCAUCAGCCUGUCCAACUAACAUACAGAGAAAUAUAACAACCAUUGAUCAAAGUAUCAAGUUGUCAGCGCUUAAAGAGAAGGCUAUGAAAGUCCAGAGCUGUACAGCUGUAUAACAAACCAAGCCUCUUGGACUAACCGAACUUCCUUCCGAGACAAAACAACAGAAAAUGAGGCAUCCAGGAGAUCAUGAUGGGAACUUGCAAAAACUUUGCCCCAUGCUUCAGUGAGGCUGGGCGAGCAGGUGAGCCUGGGUCUUACACACUUGGGCAAGGCUUAGAUUCCUUGGCAGUUUGCUUGGGCAAAUGUGCCCAACCUUUAGGCAUGUCUCAUUCCUCAGUGAUAUGUGACAUUCACGAGUACCCAUAACAGGAUCUUCUUGCCAUCAUUGUCCAGACAAGAUGGGCAUGAUUUCAUUUUGGGCAUGCAUUCAAUGGCCAGCACAUAAAAGGGGGUAGAUAAGCAUUGGUCGAGUGACUCACACGGGCUCUGUAAAUAUUCGUUCAUUGACUGAGUCAUCAAUGAAAUAGUAUUUAAUCAUAAUUCUCCAGCUCACUACAUUAAAGCCAAAACUUGGUGUCCACGUUUCUUUUUCUUCUUUUUUCAAUGGCUGCACCCAUGGCAUAUGGAAGUUCCCAGGCCAGUGACUGAAUCCAAGCUGCAGCAAUGCUGGAUUCUUUUAACCAAAUGUAGCAGGCCAGGGAUAGAACCCGAGCCUUCGAAGUGACCCAAGCCACUGCACUCAGGUUCCUAAUCCACUGCACCAUAGUAAGAACUCCUCGGUGUCCAGGUUUCUGACUUAUGGAGAAAGAGUCUAUCAUUUUAAAGGAAUAUACAUAAAUAUAAGAACCUUAAAAUUAAUAUUUCUGACAUUAAAAAGUAAUACAGGCUCACUGUAGGAAAAUCUUAAAAUACUAGAAAAUGUAAAUAACCAGAAACAAUCGCUUGUAACCUCAUAAUCCUGCCACGAGAGAUAAUGAGUUAACAUUUUGGUGUAGUUCUUUUCAACCAUUUUCUAUACAUAUACAUAGACAAACUUACACAUUUAAAAUUAUAACUAUGUGGACUAUUUCAUUGUGAAUCUGCCUUUUUCAAUGCUGGGCAUUUUCCUUUAUCAACAACUAUCUCUGAAAAUAUGAUUUGUAAAUAUGUAUACAGCAUUCGUCACAUAGAUGGACUAUGAUUUAUUUAACCAUUUUCUUAUUUUUGUACAUGGAUUUUGUUUCCAACUUUUUCUAUAUUAUAAAUAAUGCUUCAGCCAACAUACUUAUUUAUAAAUCACUUUUGAUAAUAUACUUAUGAUUAUUUUCCUAAGACAGCUAUCUAGAAGCAGAAUUUCGAGAGCAAGGGAUAUAAGUACUUUCACAGCUCUUUUGACACAGUUCUUAAAAAAAAAAAUUUUUUUUUUGUCUUUUGUUUUUUUAAGGCCAUAUCUGUGGCAUAUGGAGGUUUCCAGGCCAGGACUUGAAUCGGAGCUGUACCCUCACAACAGCCACAGCAAUGCAGAAUCCAAGCGGCAUCUGCAACCUACACCACAGCUCACAGCAACGCCAGAUCCUUAAACCACUCAGCGAGGCCAGGGAUCGAACCCAUGUCCUCAUGGAUACUAGUCAGGUUCGUUAACCAUUGAGCCAUGACGGGAACUACUUAAAAUAUUUUUUAAAACUCUUUUUACCACAUGUAAGGACUAAGAUCUAAAGGAAGUUAUGGGGAAAUAUGACAGGUUUUUGGUUUUUAGUUUGCUUGUGUUUGCCUCAUUUCCGUUAGCUCAGGCCAGGGUAGGGAUUUGUCAUCUUUAGAGUUGAGAAUCCCUGCUGCUCAUCAAGUUUCCCCCUGUGUCUCAAGACCACUCGCCCGAGAGGUUCCUCUGUUGCCUAGGGGCUGUGUUGUCUUGCCCACAUUUGGGGGCCUGGGACCUAUGGUUCAAGGUCACCCUGGUGGACCCUCCGCAGAACCAGGAAUUUCUCUGCAGAGCUGAUUUCAAGGCUAGACACACACUAAAACCAAAAGCCAACUGUCUUAAAAAAAGCAAAUAAAAAUACACAAGAAACAUUGAUUCUGUUGAAUUAAAAACUAGAUUAUUUCCUGACUUUUGUAUUUCUUUCUACCCGUUCUUCCCAGCAUUCUGGCAGGUUUCCGGAAUUUCAAGGGGGCAUUUUAGUCAAAGCUGUUGCUUCCAAAAAAAAAAAAAAAAAAAAA